GGGACGUGAACGGGAGGAGGGUACUAAGACCAACGGUCUGAAGUCCUGACGAGGAUGUCAACGUAAAUACGAGAGGCCAAGACACUUGAUGUGUUGGCAAAAACCCAGCCAAACACAUUCUGACAAGAUGUUCUCAGUUCCAGCUGAUCCUCAGAGGGUUGAUGCUGCGGCAUAAAGGUUAGUUAUCUGACACGACCCAAGGGCAGGCCUCCCAGAGGGAGCUGACUUCCUGCAGGGCGGGACUGUUUGGCAAACAUCCUGAGAGAAGACUGGGUGGAUGCACAGGACCAGAGGCCAAGGCUGCACACACCAGACACUUGAAAUUGCAGGACUUGUGCCUGAACUCCUGUUCCUGCCCAGGAGGAUCUGGUACUGCUCCAACCGUGAAUGCUAAGACAGAAGUGGGGAGGUCCAGCAAGGCUUGGACCCCAGGAGCUCAUCACCCCAGAGCUGACACUGCUGCUUCCUUAGGCAUGCAGCUUCUUAGCCCAGAGUGUAGACUGCAGUCUUGCUAGAUGACUUUGCAAGGUCCAGGGAGCCACAGGCAGAGGGGCGACUGCCCAGCUGCUCCUCUCCAGCUUCGAACUUUUGAGCUAAAAGAGGCUGUGGAAUUCAUCUGUGGAAGCUGGGGACAGAGGACCAUGUUGGAACAGAAAUGCCCGUCAGUGGGGGAUGGCUAAGCAAGCUUGUGUCUCUGUGCUGUGAAAUACUACACAGUGGCUACGAGGAAGGAGAUUGCUCUCUCUGCUGACACAGCCAGAUCUCCGAGACCUACUGUUAAUGAAAAGCAAGCUGCAUAAAGAUAUUUGUGGAAUGAUACCGUCAUUUUUUGUAGAAAAAUACACACACACAUGUAAACAAAGACAGAGCAAGCGCUGGGGCUGCAUGAAACUGGCUCAGAUGCUGGCUCAGCAACUUGUCUGUGAUCCGGGGGAAGACUUGACCCUCGAUCUCAGCUUCUUCAUCACCAAAACAUCUUGCAGGUUUGUCGUAAAGACUGAACGUAAGCUCUUUGGACGUUAUCUCUGCUCCCACGUGUUGGUUUUCUUUCCCCUAUCUGAGUCUAAUGGCUUUUUCUUUAUUUUAUUUUAUUUUAUUUUUACAGAUGAGAAAACCAAAUACAAAGUAAUUAAGUCGCUUCCUCAAAGUGCCCCAGUUGGUUAAUGUGAGAGCCAGGGCUGUAUGUGGGGUCUCUUCUAUCACAAUCAAUUGGCAUUAAAUCCCUAGGGAGUGGGGUUACUGUGUUUGCUGUGGCUAUUUCUGCCAGUGAGUCCAUGUGGCAGGUGUGUUUGCAGAUGUGUGAUGGGGGCAGCGUUGGACCCACUGCACAGAGAAGGGCCAGGCAGGGAGGGUGGGUGGACCUGCAAGGUUCUGUCUGACUGUUCUCUGACGCUGCUGUCAAGGAAGCCUAGCAGCAGAUAUCAGGGACCGGCCGCAAGGGGCCCAUAGGUACCAGGCAAAGACAGCCAACAGCACAGGGAUGCGGGCAAAACGGGCUGCUGACAGUCUUUCUGGCUACCUAGAAUCUGCCUCUUCGUGUUUGGGUAAUCGCUCUGAUUUGUGAGGCAGAGAGUGCCACCCAUUGCACCACAGAAAAUGACAGACACUUCCCGGUUGCCGUUCCCAUGAGGAUGUUCAGAGAGCUGGGCUCCAGCAGUCAGAGGCACCGUCCUCAUCAGGCUCCACUCGCUCAGAGCUCCAGGGAUGGCUUCCAGGCCUAUGGGGAGUUACCCACCAGCGCUGUCAUCACUAAUUUCAACUAAAGCCCUGAGUUUGAAUUUUAACUGUCACAGACUCCAGGUGGGCUUAUGGCUGUUACUACUUUGUUGAGUGCAAACAAAGGGGAUUUUGUGUUCUGAAGCCAUCGCAUGGGAGCAAGACCUCAGCAGGCUGUGGGUCAGGGAGCUAUGCCAUGUGCUCCAUGCGUCCAGGGGACCAGCCCCGAGGGAACCAGGCCGUAGCUGGCUGCACCCCCACCCCAGGAAAGCGGGCACUUCCAGGGAACCUCCAGGGAAUGACUGGACCCCUGGUUAACUUUCUGGGAAGAAUUCAUGACUAAGUGGUAUUUUCAUCUUCCUCUCCUCCAGUUUUGGCCCUUUUUGUGUUUGUCCAUGGUGCCUGAAGACUCUGCUUUCUGGACUAAGGCCUGAGAAUUUACUUCAGUGUCUACGUGGGAGUCCAGGCUGGCCGUCUGCAUUUUUGUGAUGAAUGGGCAUCCUAACCACUGGAACAUUCUUGAACUGAGUUGCUUCUUUCCAUCUUGCAGACAGAAGGACAAACAUCUCUCCUACUCUUCUGAGGCAACGCUUCAGAUCCGCUCAGCCUCACCACCUCUUGUCUCAGCACCAGCAGUUCCGGAUGGCUCCUGCUGUCAGCGCCUCCCCUCGAGCUGCAGCUCGUGCCUCUCAUCUCCCACCCAGGGGGGUGUUGAUGCCAGACACAGAGGCCCAGGACGCUGCUGUGGCUCACACAGGGAACACUGAAGUGAGGCGGGGAGUUAACGCCCCACGAGGAGACUUUCGACAGAAGGAGACAGUUAGUGGAUAGAUUCUUCUUCCUUUCUCCCUGCAGGUGGACAGUUUUGAGAUGCGGCUUUGUGACUUCCUGGAGAAUGAUCCUGUCCACUUGAACAAUCAGUCUGACGUGGCAGCUGCCAACCCCCCGUGUCUCCUAUUGGCUCCUCCUUUGCUGCUUCGCGUCCGUGUCCCUCACAGCUGGAAAUGCGUUCCUAAUCAGGUGGAAGUACCAUAGCUCCUUGCCUCAGGCUCUGCUUUCUCAGUAGCCCAGGCUAAGAGAACACCACAGAAUUCACAGACAAAACCAUGCCAAUUUCAGCAUCAUUAGUAGCUUUUCGUCAUGUAGGAAUCCUUCCUGGCGUCUCACUCGGUUGUAUCCUAAAUGUGUGACAUUGGGAAAGUCACCUAAUCUCUCUGAGCCUCAUAUUCUUCAGGGUAAUGUGGCGAUAACAAUAAUGCGCGUCUCAUGAAGAGUUGGAGGAAUUGAGAGAAACUUGAUACGGGCCGGUGCUUGUCAUGUAGUGAACGCUCAGUGUCAGCUGCCGUUGUUAUCAUUAUGAAAAUCAGUCCUAUUGGCAACAUGACGGAGCUCUAGGGGAGACAGCAAAAGGAAAGGGCGUCCACUUACAGGUACUUUAGGGAGGUUGGAAAGGUGUGCCUGCACACCUGUGAGCACGUGUUCACGUUACACAAUAAGGCCUCGAGGGUCCAUUCCAUCAUCCAAAGAAGGCCGGAUUUAGAAAUGGAACCUAGACCCCUUCUGGAGUCAGACUUCCACGCCACGGUGAAAGGAUCCUGCUGAGCGGUCGAGCAUUUUGAAGGGCUGUGUAGGUUUAAACUGAAUCAGGACCACAGUGGUCCCAGGUUUUGACAUUUCCUUCUGUGGCUUCCCGCUCAGCGUGCUGGCACGGCCGAGGGACGCCCGGCCUCUCUCCGUGAUCCUGAGCUGUGCCUGGGCUCCGCACAGGAGAUGGCCUGCCUCUCACAGCUGGCCGUCCUUUGAUCCCAGAGUUUCAAUUGUGUUAUGUUUGGCUUUUGCUUGCUGAUGAAGAGAUGUAUAUGGAUUUCAUUUUCUUUAGUCUCUGGCUGCCAAAGAUCUUGGUGUUUGUAAUAUUCGUGGGCAACUAGAUCAACUACAACCACGUUUUUGCUGGGCGGUUUUCACGGUAGCGGGAAGUCAGAAGUGAUGCGUAGGCUCCUAAAUCUUGGGCUUUGUUUAACAUGUAAUUUUUAUGGCCAGUGAGACUGAGUAAGGUCCUAAUAUUUCAGAACUUCAUAUAGGAGGCAAGCCAGAAUGAAAAAUGACACUGUCCGCCAGCCAAACCCAGCCACUGCAUAACGCAUCUUCUCAGAAAAUCAUCCUGACCCUCCUCCAAGCUCACUUUUGUCCUCCAGGUUCGGAAUCCUUGUUAAAUGAACUUCUGGGGCUUAUUUUUCUUUGGUAGUGCAGCAAAUAUAAAAUGUCCUCCACACUACCCACAAACAUGCAGACCAGAUGUCGAUCCCUCAGGACCCUAACUGGUGUUUUCUCCCUGAUGACCGCUUAGCCCGCUAGAGAACGGAAAACGAAAAUCCAAGUUUUACUCUAAGUAUGGAACCUCAGCCCGGUCCUAGCAUUUCGAGUCUCUUUGGGUAACUCAGUCCCUGCUCAGAAACUGCAGUGAAUGUUUCCAAUCCCCUUUUGCUCUGCUCAGAGACGGCGUCUGGGUGGGAUGCACAGCAGCUGGAAGCAGAUGCUCGCUAGAUGGCCUUGGGCCGCACGCAGACUCCUGCAGCAGACGUCAGGAUCUCUGCCCAGGAGCCAGUCCGGGAGGGAUGUGCUGCCUCGGCAGCUGAGAAUGGUCAGCAGACAGUCUCUGGCCCACAGCUCCUCCAGGAUCUGCUUCAGCUGCAGAAAGACAUCUUACCAAGGUCCCAGGCUUCCCAGGGCAGCCCCUCUCCGGCCCUGAUGGAGGCGGGGGGGAAAGACCUGGCCAGCGCGGUGGGUCGCAGCACAACACAGGUGGCCAGUCUCCCUCCAGAGUCCCCUGGGGGGCCGAGGCUUUGCUGGGUCUCAUCACAAUCUCAUCAACUCCUCCCCUGGCCCAAUCCCACUUCCUCCCCCAUUCUUCACAGAUAUGGAUUCCUAAUAAGCAUCUCGCACCCCAAACUCUGUCUCAGCAUCUACUUCCAGAGCAGCCAACUCACAGAGCUCAUCUCUUCUCCCGUCUUCUGCUGUGACAUCCACGCCGUCACUGUGCGACGUGGGAGUGGACUCUGCAGGCUCUUCCCGAUGGCCCCCGGUCUCUGUGCACAGCGGAUACAUGGCACCCGCCGCAUGCUCCGGGCCUCCCGUCCUGUGGGAUACUUCUAACGACAGUCCUGAAGCUCUGCUUGGAGCCUGGUAAAGGAGGGCGGGACCUGGCCUCUCACCUCCCUCAUUUCUCUCUCUCUCUUAUUACUCACAAAAUCCCUCAAGUCAGGAGGAGCAGCCUUUUGGCUUCUCUUUGUCCCUUUUCUCUUCUCCAUCCCGGACACAGAGCAAGAUUCUACGACCUGGUUCACCAAGUCUGUCUCUUGAUAUGAUAAAGGUAGGUGUUAAAUUCAGGAAAUAUUUUCUUUUCUUAAUAAAGUCUGACCUCCAGAUCUACUGUCUUAUUGUAUAUCUGAAAAGCCUAUUUUGAAUGCCAGGAGCUCCACACUGAUUCUUUCUUUCUCUGCAUUUCCACAUGACAGUCUAAACUCCUACCUUCUUCCUCUCUCGUAGGUUCAUGGCCUUGCCCCCAAGACAACUUUUAAUAGUAAUUUUAGUAGGGGUUGUAACCAAUCCUUCAUGUAAAUACAUUCUAUCCACUGAUUUUUAGGCAUCCCACACAGGUCCUUACGGGAGGCAAGAUGUAUGCAGGAGCCGCACUCCAUCCUGUCCCAUGUCUACCUGCUCUACCCGGGGACCAUCCACCUGGGGGCAGAAGGGAAUACCCUCUAUUUCGCUGCAGUCCCGUCACCAUCUGACCCGUGGCUUGAUCUCUGUGGUCUCUGCCUGGAUGUCUCAGGAAAAGCUUCAGCCUUUCAGAGUUCUGCUCUUUCCCUGCCCCUCCCAGCUGGCACUAAAAGAAGGGGCGGGGAGGUCCCCGGACCACCCUCCAGUGUGGGCUCCCCGCUGAUGGGCCAUGCGGUUGCUGGCCUGGAUUGCUCCCUGGCCCUGUGGUCACUGAGGUGCAGCUGGAACGGUCACAGUUUGUGAGGACACGCGUCAGCACCCACUCCUGGAACCUGCUUCCCGUCACCAGUUUCUGGGGUGGGAGACCCUGCGCUGCUCUCUGACCCCGGGCCUCGGCCGCUCUCUGGCCUCGUUGGUGCCCUGCUUACUCUUCCGCAUGUGUCUGCCGCCUUGAGCACCAGGAACCCGGGUGUGGCCAAGGCACAUGGACCUGGCCUUCUCGUGCCACCGCCACCUCCGUGCCCUGUGUCCCCACACCACCCAGGUGUGACAAUUAGCCCCAAACUGGGCCCCUCCCAGAGGCCUGCAGCCUCCCCCAUCACACCCAGACCAAGGAUGCUGGCCACGAACCCUGCUGUUUUCAAUGCUUCCUGCUCUAGGUGUUUCUGAAAGUACUUCCUCCCACCGGCUCUCUCGAGGUGCCUCCAUGCUCCCAGUCCUGGGAGAAAAGGCAACCCGCUGACCGCCUGCCUCCCUGUGCUGUGCGUCCUCCUGUAAUCCCGACUUCCUCCACGACCCGUCCCAAGUCCCGUCCAGACAGACAGACAGCGAGAGACUUCAGAGAAGUGUCCCCCUUUUGCAAAGGAAGGAAUUUACAUUCCAGACAUUCAGGCCUGAUUCUCUGCACACGAAUAAAGCUAAAAGAAAUGAAAAACCACUUAUUUCUCAGCAAAACUUGGCUUUUGAGAUUAUCUUGUUUCAAUCUCAAACAAAUAGAUAAGCAACAGUCUCCUGUGCUAACAGACAGGGACCCUUCUCUGAAGCACUUGGGCCCUAUUCCUCACAGUGUGAGACGUUGCCAGUUAAUAAGAUUUAUGAGACAUGGAAAUGUAUCUGAACAUAAUUCAAAG
ensembl:lncRNA